UCCUUUUGUACAUUGGCCUGAACAAGGUGUUGAUGAUGAAGAAAAGAAAAGUUUCUUUGAUCAGCUGCUGUAUCCUGGAAAUAUUAAAUGGUCUCUGUUGAUUUCCAAGUCCAAGCAGCAAAAGUUUAACAUCGGUUUCAACUUUUAACCUUCCAUUUUCCUCACUCAAACAUUUAUUUUUGUUAUUAUUAUGAUUAUUUUGAAAUUUAUCUUUGGAAACCUUGCUGACCACAAAUUUUUGGUAGAAGACCAAACUGAUUUUGAUGGGUUUCUGGAAACCUACAUUGCUUUGUACCUGUCAGCAAGAUUGUUAAUACUCUUCACAUAUCUGCUUAUUGAUGUCAAGUAGCUCUUUUCUA